rfam:Cavia porcellus supercont2_51 genomic scaffold, whole genome shotgun sequence.
UCAUAGGAGUUUGUUAACUCCACUUAACAAAUACUAAUGAAAGUAAG